UUGCCCUACGGGACGCAGCAGUGGGGGAUAUUGCACAAUGGGGGAAACCCUGAUGCAGCGACGCCGCGUGAGUGAAGAAGUAUUUCGGUACGUAAAGCUCUAUCAGCAGGGAAGAAUAAUGACGGUACCUGACUAAGAAGCCCCGGCUAACUACGUGCCAGCAGCCGCGGUAAUACGUAGGGGGCAAGCGUUAUCCGGAUUUACUGGGUGUAAAGGGAGCGCAGGUGGCAUGGCAAGCCAGAAGUGAAAACCCGGGGCUUAACCCCGCGGAUUGCUUUUGGAACUGUCAGGCUGGAG
rnacentral:rRNA from 1 species